rnacentral:tRNA from 1 species
GGAGAUGUACUCAAGUGGCCGAAGAGGCGCCCCUGCUAAGGGUGUAGGUCGGGAUAACCGGCGCGGUGGUUCAAAUCCACUCAUCUCCGCCA